GAUGAACGCUGGCGGCGUGCCUAAUACAUGCAAGUCGAGCGAACAGACGAGGAGCUUGCUCCUCUGACGUUAGCGGCGGACGGGUGAGUAACACGUGGAUAACCUACCUAUAAGACUGGGAUAACUUCGGGAAACCGGAGCUAAUACCGGAUAAUAUAUUGAACCGCAUGGUUCAAUAGUGAAAGACGGUUUUGCUGUCCCUUAUUGAUGGUUCCGCGCCGGAUUAGCUAGUUGGUAAGGUAACGGCUUACCAAGGCAACGAUGCGUAGCCGACCUGAGAGGGUGAUCAGCCACACUGGAACUGAGACACGGUCCAGACUCCUACGGGAGGCAGCAGUAGGGAAUAUUCCGCAAUGGGCGAAAGCCUGACGCAGCAACGCCGCGUGAGUGAUGAAGGUCUUCGGAUCGUAAAACUCUGUUAUUAGGGAAGAACAAAUGUGUAAGUAACUAUGCACGUCUUGACGGUACCUAAUCAGAAAGCCACGGCUAACUACGUG
rnacentral:rRNA from 1 species